rnacentral:rRNA from 1 species
AUUGAACGCUGGCGGCAGGCUUAACACAUGCAAGUCGAGCGGAGAGAGGUAGCUUGCUACUGAUCUUAGCGGCGGACGGGUGAGUAAUGCUUAGGAAUCUGCCUAUUAGUGGGGGACAACAUUUCGAAAGGAAUGCUAAUACCGCAUACGUCCUACGGGAGAAAGCAGGGGAUCUUCGGACCUUGCGCUAAUAGAUGAGCCUAAGUCGGAUUAGCUAGUUGGUGGGGUAAAGGCCUACCAAGGCGACGAUCUGUAGCGGGUCUGAGAGGAUGAUCCGCCACACUGGUGCUGAGCCACGGCCCCGACUCCUGCGGGAGGCAGCGGUGGGGAAUAUUGGACAAUGGGGGCAAGCCUGAUCCAGCCAUGCCGCGUGUGUGAAGAAGGCCUUAUGGUUGUAAAGCACUUUAAGCGAGGAGGAGGCUACUUUAGAUAAUACCUAGAGAUAGUGGACGUUACUCGCAGAAUAAGCACCGGCUAACUCUGUGCCAGCCGCCGCGGUAAUAC